UACGUAGGUGACCAGCGUUGUCCGGAUUUACUGGGCGUAAAGAGCGCGCAGGCGGUCGUUCAAGUCGAGUGUGAAAGCCCCCGGCUCAACUGGGGAGGGUCACUCGAUACUGAUCGACUUGAAGGCAGGAGAGGGAAGCCGGAAUUCCCGGUGUAGUGGUGAAAUGCGUAGAUAUUCGCAAGAACACCCAGUGGCGAAGGCGGCUUACUGGUCCGGUUCUGACGCUGAGGCGCGAAAGCGUGGGAGCAACAG
rnacentral:rRNA from 1 species